rnacentral:misc_RNA from 1 species
UGAGAUUGAAUAGAGAUGAGCAAAAAAUGGUUGAAAUAAGGAAGGAGCUACAACCUCGUACGUACAGGAUGAAGGUUGGACAGGCUGUACAUGUUGGUUGCUUGCUGCGACUAGACCUUAAUCAAGCUUCUGUAGAAACAAUUUAUGUCACCGUUUGGGCAUCACCAAGUGUUUCUCUGCACUUGGGGAAGAUAGAAAAUGCUGAUGAUUUCUGGGGAAACCAUGUUGGGGUUCGAUUACAGCCUCCAGUGGGCAAAGAAAGAGCUACUGAGUUGGGCAAAUGGGAAGGGAGAGAAAUCAAAGUGGCUGGAGCGAGCUGGGAUGUGAAUAGCAUUGAUAUUGCAGUAGCUGGCUUAGGUUGGUUUUCUUUGGGUCUCAAAGGUGAAGCAACUGCAACACUGUGGACAUAUGAUGGUAUUGAGAUCACUUUGAGAGAACCUUUGGUUCUUGACCGAGCACAAUUCCUUGAGAGACCUGGAUUCUGGCUACCAAAGGCUAUAUCUGAUGCUAUUGGCAACCAAUCUAAACUUGAAUCCCAAAAAAGGAAAAUGCUUCAAGAGAAGAGUGUGGAGUCUAUUUCAGAGUUGUCUGCUUGAUGGGAAAAGAAGAGGGG